AUUCAAGAAUAUGUGAACAUAAAUGGUUUUAUAGAAGCCAAUUUAUUGGCUAACUUGUGGCAGUGGCUACCUGCAUUCACAAGCUCCUCGUGUAUUUGAAAGCACCUCAAUAGGAACUACAAAUAGUGAAAUUGGCAAUGAAACUUGUGGAAAACACUUCAAAUUAAUUUCGGCCCCUUCUUUUUUUUUAGUCUGGACAAUUUAGCCUUUCUAUGGCUUUAGUUAGCCCUACGUACAUUUCAAUCUGUUUUGAUGGUUCAUGGCCCAUGUUUCUAACGGUAUACUGGCUUUGUCCAUUUUGAAUGACUCCUCCUACUUUUUCUCAGCUCAUUAUAUAUUGUUUAGCUCAUCGACAGGCUUGGCUUUGUAGACAAGAACCAACUCAAAUCCAUGUCUGAAAAGAUACCAUGUGCUUGGGUGACUUGCAGAGCAUUAUAAAAGAAGUAAAGGGUUAUCAAUGGCAGACUUUUGACAGACUACAUAGUACAUACUCUACUGAGGAGAAUCAAUAUGGGUUACAGCUAAUGAUUUCAUUCUUACAAGAAAUAUCAACAGCCAUUGUAUGUACACAUUCUCGGUAGCAGUUUAUUUUGGUAGUUAAACUUGUUGACUUUUAAGAAUGAGCCAAUAAAUAGAUUGGUAGUUAAACAUGAAAUGAACAAACAUUUAUCCAUAUCAUGUGGAUUUCAAAUCCAGUUUUGGGUGUGUUAUGAGUCUUUUAGUUAUAGUCUCAUAUUUGGUCA